rnacentral:lncRNA from 1 species
UUUUCAUUUUAAAGCAUUUUAUUCCUCUUCAAUACAAAACAAUAUUUCAAUUGUGAUAUUGUCUUUUGCUUAUUUCAAGCUGUUUGAAAGAAAGAUCAUUCUGAAAGACUUGUACAAAAAUUAUAUAAACGUUUCAAAAAUCUUCCAAGUGCCUAUGUGGCUGAGUGAUCAAGUAGAUCAUCUGGGUUGAGUUCAAUAUUGGAGCAGCUACAUAACUGCUAUCAAUUUCUAUGUAGCAGCUAGUCUAUAGCUACACGUUCAAUAGUCAAAAUCUACGUAGCACUACGUAGCAGCUAUGAUAUUGAAAGCGACCCUGCUAUAUCACUUGAAGUUGAAUCUCAAUCUCAAAGUCCAUAAUUGUUUUGUCCAACACUGUGGUUUGCAUUGAAAUCCAAUAGGUGGCAGGUACGUUCUACUCCAAUCUAAAUUGACUUGGACUGCCAGUUUUUCUGGUGACCGUUGUGGUUCAAGCAUUUCCACCAAAUAAAACUGACCUCCAUAAUUAAGCCAAUAGGACUGGAAGUGGUUUUAAACACAAUUAAUCAAGAAUUUUCUGAAACUAUGCAUUACACAGUUUCUAAAUACUUAAUUGAUAUGAAUUACAAGUUAAGAAACCCUUACAAUUUCAUAGAUAUAUGCAGUUUGUUCAGUCCCCUUUGCUGGGAUGUCACUGAGGAGGGUUAUUGGGGAUCAUGACACUCUGAGUUAAAUAAUUCUAUUUCAAUCUGAAUCUCAACUUUAAAAGACUUUAAUUGUAAUGUUCAAACCUCUCUUGGUGAUUCAUGAAUUAAGUUUUUUGUGGUCAUGUUUUGUUCAGUAAUGAUACCUUACAAUAUCUGCCUUGAAUACGAUUACUUCUUUUAUGAUGUUUUGUUUUCUUGCCAAUCUUGAAAAAGGGAUUGGAAAGUUGAGUAGUAGUGACUGUGAAAGUGUAUAUUACAUACAAACCUUGAGGUGAAUUGAAUUAUAUUUGUUCUCAGUGAUGUCAAAAUAUGAUAAUAGAAUAGAAAAACUAAUGUUUAAUGAAGAUAAAAAAUGGGUGCAGUAGCCAAAUGACGUAUGCUUGAACAAAAAUUUACAUCUAAUUUCUGUGGUUUAAAACUAAUGACGCCAUUCUUAAGUACUGCAUAUUUGAUACUUUGGUUGAAAAUAAAAAUUUAAACAAACAAGUUGAAUGUUUUCUGGUAGCCCCAUGUUUCAUUGUCUGAAUAUUUGUCCAAUCCGUCAUUAAAUUCUACAGACUACCAAUUAACCUGAACUAAUUGCAGGAUAAUAUUCUGUAAAUGAUUAUGAAAGGUAAAGGUUAAUUAGUGUUUGUUAUUAUAUAUGUAAAUUCUAGUCAUCUUAUGCAUAUUCAUGAACAUCAUUGCAAAAAUAUUUUAUAAAAUUUUGUCAAAAACAAUUUUCAGAAACAAAUUAGGACAUAUCUUGUACUUUUAACACAUGGAAAGUACACUCAAAAGAUGAAUGCAAAUUUUAAAACAGACCUGCAGAAUUGAAUUUCAUUGAUAUAUCUGUUAGAAAUUGAAGUUUAAAGGUUGUACAUGUAUAAGUUUUUUUAAUUAACAAUUAUACUUGUGAUGGUUCUAAUGUUAUUGUGUCUGUUCUUUUUUACUUUAUACUGGUGCUUUUAAAAAUUUAUUUACACAUAUGAAGUAUUGCAAUGAAUUAUAGAUAUCAUAAUGUCUCUGUAUGUUUCUUGUUUGUUAUUAUUUAUAAUUCCAUAAUUCCAUAGUACUUUUUAUAGAUUUACAAGGUUAGCAUUCGAUCUAUGUGUUUUUAUGUCAUAUAAUUGUUUGAUAUCAUGAGAACAAUUGUCCAAAAGAUAUUUACUAAGUCAGAAUCAAUUAUUUUAAUUGAGUUUUUGUUGUUUAUUUAUUACAUGAGUCAAGAUCAAAUGAAUUAAUGUUUAUCAAUAUAAAAAAGUGCAUUGAACACAAUUUUGUUUGUGUUAUUAUUGGAUAGUACAUAAUUAUUUAAACCAAUUUGAGCCAGCAUUUGAAACUUUGCUUCAAACCUAAAGUUAAGUUUUGGCCACAUUUAAUUUUCCAUUAUUUGGUAUAGUAAUAAUUCAUCAAGAUUAAUGUAAAGCCGUUACUGUGUAGAGUUGAAAAUACUGAUUGAUAGCAAACAGUUCUUGGGUAUAGAAAUAAUUCCAAAAUUGAGUCCAACUAUUCCUGAGUAAAAUCAUUAAUUCCUGCUCUGUGUCAAUCCUUUUCUGAGUAGUCAUAAUUCCUGCUCAUUGUAAACCCAUUUCUAGCCGUACAUUGACCUAUAAUGGUUUACUUUUUUAAAAUUAUUAUUUGGAUGGAGAGUUGUCUCAUUGGCACUCACAACACAUCUUCCUAUAUCUAUAUAGCCAUAAUUCAAAUAAACUAUCUCUUAAAUCCUGAUUGGUGUCGAACUAUUCCUGAGUAUAGUCAUAAUUACUGAAUCAAGUAAACUACCAGUACUUCUUAAUGCUUGUUGGUGACAAACUUUACCUGAGUAUAGUUAUAACUCCUGCUCGAUGUCAAUUCAAUUAAUUUCUAGGUAAAGUAAUAAUUCCUGAAUCAUGACAAAAAUCGUAGAGAGUACUAAUACAGAAAUCAUAUUUCAAAGGAAGAACACAUGUUUGCAUGUGUUUAUCUCCACAGUUGAGCUGUAAACCACACGUAAGUAUCACACCUGAGAAAACGGUCAAGAUGGCAUCAAACUUUGAAUAUCUGCUGAUUAUUUUUUCAUUUUUUUCAUGAAGGAACACCAUAACACAGAUUUUACGUUACAUGUAUAAUUGCAUUAUCUCUGGAAGUCUCAUAAGCACUGCUUCGUCAGACCAUUUCAUGGAAUGAUGCUCAAAGGGAGUUUUAUAGAUAUUGGUUUGUGUAACAAUGAAUGGUACUUUUAAUUGUUUUAUUUGGGGGUGGGAAUAUCUCUUUUGCCAAACACAUGAAUAACAUAAUGUGCAAAUUUACUUCAAGGAAUCAAUGACACACUCAAAGGACAUCUAGCGGUUGUUUUACUUCUUAUUGUCAUUGAAAAGAUCUAUGGGUCUAAAGGACAUAUGACUAAUUCCUUGCAAAGAGGAAUGGUAUAGAUAAUCUUGUAUUGAUGAUACUAAUACAUACUCCACAAUAUUUAACGAAACAAAAUGAAACACACGAUUGUGCUAAAACUUUAUUGUACAAUAUUUUUCCACUUCUUGUUUGUUGGUAGAUUAAAGAUAUAUGGACAUAGGAUUCCACAAACUGAAGAUCAUAAAAAACAUUUUAUUAAAAUAAAGUAUGUCAAUAACGGUUUUGAUUUUGUAAAUAUUGACGGUAUUUUAACGACCAUUCUGUUAAAGACCAAAUUCCUGGAUAUGUUGAUAACACUGAACUCCCCCUUAUUUGUUAUAUUUACAAGAAAUCUACUCGGAAAUAUGUGUUUAAUUAUAGCCAAUUGUGUAAAGAUGUAAAUAUCAUUGAAAAUACACCUAUGUCAUGUUAUUGCAGUUAUUCUGAAUACACUUAUGGCCCCAUUUCCCAUGUCAUAACAGGAGGCCUUAACAUCGUUCGCGACCGAGAGUUGAAAUCAUUCCUCAGUAAAGGACCUAAAUAUCGUCCCUCGUCAAUUAUUGAUUGGAAUGAGUGUUGUAAUAUCAUCCACGACUCACUCCGUACCUACUGUUUGAAAUGGGUAACACGGGAAAAAGCUGACAAAAAAAUCUUUGGACUCUUUUUUUAAUUCAGUAAUGAAGAUAGUUGAUAUUCGAAUACAACAUUCUAAAGAACAUUUUACUCUUAACAACAACCAUAAUAACCCUAUUUCUCGUAUCAAAAAUAAACUAAAAGAACUAACCAAGGAAUUUGUUUUUGUCCCGGCUGAUAAAGCGGCUAAUAAUAUCAUUAUUGUUUGACGUAAAUUUUAUAUUGAGUUUCUGCAAAAGGAAAUCGCGAAUUCACCAACAUUCUAACUGACUUCAUUUUCAACAAACAACAUCUGUAACACAGACAAAUUUGUAGCUACUUCUUUACAAGCAGAACCAAGUACAAUCAAAGUCCCAACUAUGUACUGGCUUCCGAAGCUACACAAAAAACCUUACAAAUAUAGAUUUAUUUCAUCUUCAACAUUGUUCCACUACUAAAUUGUAUUUAGUACACUUGGUACAAUAAAAACUGAUAAUAAAUUGUUCAAUACUUUGAAAAUAGUGGCAUUAAUUACUUUUGGAGUGUCAAAAACUCGUUGGAAGUACUUGAUAAAUUGCAUGCAUAUAUUGGUGAUUUUGAAUCUGUUCCAUUUUUGAUUUUUCUACCCCAUAUAUCACUUUGCCUCAUAUUCUUAUUAAGAAAAACAUCACAUUCCUAAUUAACUGGGCAUUUAAAAAGUCAGAAUGCGAGUACAUAUGUUCAAACUCUUUUAGGUCAUUUUUAGUAGCAAUAAACAAAAGAACAAAUUUAUUCGUUCAUAGUUUGUUAAUUUACGUUUUUUGAUUGAGUUAAGCCUUCCAAUUGAUAUUUUAUCGUGUGGUUUUCUAUGUUGUGAUGCUAUGCUAUUUAUUCAGAAAAAGGGAGAAGGUUUGGUACCACUAAAACGUUUAAUCCCGCUGCAAAUGUUUGCACCUGUCCUAAGUCGGGAAUCUAUGUACAGUAGAUGUCGUUUGUUUAUGUAAUUCAUACGUGUUUUCGUUUCUCGUUUUUUAUAUAGAUUAGACCUUUGGUUUUCCCGUUUGAAUGGUUUUACACUAGAAAUUUUGGGGCCCUUUAUAGCUUUUUGUUCGGUGUGAGUCAAGACUCCGUGUUGAAGGCCGUACAUUGACCUAUAAUGGUUUACUUUUAUAAAUUUGUUAUUUGGAUGGAGAGUUGUCUCAUUGACACUCACACCACAUCUUCCUAUAUCUAUAUGUCAAUUGGACAUACUUUGAUACUAUAUAUGCGCUUGGAUAUUUACUUGAUAACAUCUUUGUUCGCUUUGGAGAUUCCGUAUAUCGUCAAUUUAUUGGAAUUCCAUUGGGGACUUACUGUGCACACUUAUUGAGGACCUGUUUUUGUAUUGUUAUGAGUUACAAUUUAUGACUAAAAAUACUUUUAGAUAUUUGGAUGAUAGAUUGGCUCUCAAUAAUGACGACUUCAGUGUGUAUACUAAAGAAAUUUAUCCUGUUGAAGUUACUUUAAAGCUAAUACUAGCAGUGACCACCGCCCUUUUCCUCAAUCUCGAUAUUUAUAUCAUUAACGGGAAACUUAAUACAAAAAUUUAUGAUAAAAGAGAUGAUUUUUCAUUUCAUAUCGUUAAUUGUCAAUUUUUAGAUGGUGACAUUCCCUUGCCACCAUCUUAUGGUGUUUAUAUAUCUCAACUUCGCUCGUGUAUGUAGCAACGUAUUAGAUUUUAGCGAGAGAAAUUUAAAAAUAUGUAUUACUGAAAAAUUAUUACACCAGGGUUUUUGAUAUCACAAACUAGUCAAAACAUUUACUAAAUUUUAUCAUUGGUAUUUUGGAAAUAAUUCGUAAAUAUAACUCAACAUGCAGACAUCUUAUACCUUCAGGUAUUUCACAACCAAUCUUUUAUAGCAAUAUUCUUUACAAGCACAACAAUGUCAGUAUUCACCUCAGAAGCUUACAAAACCUGUAAACAGAUUUAUUGAGAAGGGAUUAGUUACGAUACUGUUGUAGGUCAUUAAAGAAUUGCAUAUUUUGGCUUAAUAAUAUUUCACUUUAGGUCUUUGCAUCGAACUAAACACAUUUAUUUAAAAAAACAGUUGUUGCAUGACACAUCUUCUCAUAUGUUUUAUGAUAGUAUGAAACUAAACCCGGCCCCUAACGGGAGGGAUGGUGCCUGAUAUGCAUAUGAUGAAGACAUAAUCUUUCAAUCAGUUUAAAUUGAUCUGGAGCUGGCAUGUCAUUUAACUGCUAGUAGUCUGUUGUUAUUUAUGUAUAUUGUCAUUUUAUUUAUUUUAUUUUGUUGCAUCUCUGACAUCAGCGGACUUCUCUUGAACUGAAUUUUAUGUAUUAUGUAUUUACUUUUCUACAUUGCUAGAGUAUUAGGGGGGGUUGAGAUCUCAUAAACAUGUUUAACCCCGCCGCAAUUUUGCGCCUGUUUCAAGUCAGGAGCCUCUGGCCUUUGUUAGUCUUGUAUGAUUUUUGCUCAUCAACUUUGUUCUUAUUUGGCUUUAUAACUAUAUUGAUCUGAGCGUCACUGAUGAGUCUUUAUGUAGACGAAACGCGCGUCUGGCGUACUAAAUUAUAGUCCUGGUACCUUUGAUUAACACCACUAGGUCGAUGCCACUGCUGGUGGACGUUUCGUCCCCGAGGGUAUCACAAGCCCAGUAGUCAGCUUUUCUGUGUUGACAUGAAUAUCAAUUAUAUGGUCUUUAUUUAAUAAAACGCAUGUUACAAAACUUUGAAUUUUUCAAAAAAACUAAGGAUUUUCUUAUCCCAGGAAUAUAUUACCUUAGCCGUAUUUGGCACAACUUUUUGGAAUUUUGGGUCCUCAAUGCUCAUCAACUUUGUACUUAUUUGGCUAUAUAACUUUUUGAUCUGAGCGUCACUGGUGAGUCUUUAUGUAGACGAAACGCGCGUCUGGCGUACUAAAUUAUAAUCCUGGUUGCGGCCAUCGUUUUGUUCUAUCCACUUUGAUUAGACAACAAAACUGACUUAUCCCUGUCAAAGAAUUCUUUUUGGUAUGGAGAGGGUUAGUAGAUCUUAGUAAAGGAAUCGCCGUGUCCGUCCAGCGCAUAACUUAUGUACCAUUGUUAAUCAGACUUAGCAUACAUCAUGGGCUCCGGUUGUAUCAAAUACCAUAGUCUUUGACUUUUGACACUUGUUGUAGUAAAACUUUGUACAAUUCGUGAACUUCUAAUAAUUUUUGUACCAUAAAACUUAGAUUAAACAAACUUGGUAUUAUGGUGCAUCAUGGCUGAGAUUGUGACAUAAAUUGAAUUCAUGUAACUUUUUUUCACCUUGAAUUUGACCUUUGGCACCUUUGAUAUUAAAAUAUUGUCUAAUUUGUACAAGAGCAUAACUUGUGUACUAUUGCAUUUAGAUUGACAAAACUGAGUAUCAUUGAAAUAUAGAUUGUGCCAAAUACCAGGAGGACUGGUAGAAAUAAUGGUGUAUUGAUGAUACUAAUACAAACUGCACAAUACUUUAGCGAAACAAAAUGAUACACACAACUUUAAAAAUACUUUAUUAUUUUUUUUUAAAUACCGAACUCCAAGGUACAUUUUAAAAGGAAAAGUCCAUGAAAAUUUAAACGCUAUCAAUCAACGAAAAACUUUCAUUCUCCUGACUUUUACAGACGUUUUCUUAUAAUGGAUAAAACCUGGUUUUAUAGUUAGCUGAUUUCCCACUUGUAUGCCAGUUGUUUAUAGAUCCUUUAUUUUGACAACAUGGGAUGAGUAACCCAAACAUGAAAGGUUUCGAAUAUUCUUGAAUGGAAUUUCUAUCUGUCCCCUCUUAAUCCACGCUUGAAAUAUGAUUUUUUUUACAAUUGAGUAGAUUAAAAUUAUGCAAGAACCAUAUUAUUCAAUUGCUCUGGUACUUCGAUGCAAUCCUAUUGCUUUUUCAUUUUAUCAAUCUUGGCAUUAAUAAAGGCAACAUUAUUAUACCGCUAUUUAAAAGUCAUAAAUCGAUUGAGAGAAAACAAAUCCGGGUUACAAACUAAAACCGAGGGAAACACAUCAACUAUAAGAGGAAAGCAACGAAACAACGAGAACACUAAAGUGGAACACAAAAACAAUAUAUAGUAAUGCAAUAUACAUAGAAACAAACAAUUAGAUGACAACUGCCUUAUUUCUGACUUGGUACAGGACAUUUUAAGGAAGUAAAGUGAAUUGAACCUGGUUUUGUAACUAGCCAAAACUUGCGCUUUAUGGCAAUGUUAAAUAUAACGCUAAAAUGACAACAAUACAUUACAGGAAUACAGUACAAAUAGAUGCGAGAAUACUCUGGACAGUCCAAUAAAUAAGUACAUAAUAUAAUAGUACAUUUCGACAUGUUAACAUCAGAAUAACAACGAAUACAUAAAAUAGAUAAGAGAUAUAAAAACAGC